rnacentral:rRNA from 1 species
AACGAACGCUGGCUGUGCCUAACACAUGCAAGUCGAACGAACCCUUCGGGGUUAGUGGCGCACGGGUGCGUAACGCGUGGGAAUCUGCCCUUUGCUUCGGAAUAACAGUUAGAAAUGACUGCUAAUACCGGAUGAUGUCUUCGGACCAAAGAUUUAUCGGCAAAGGAUGAGCCCGCGUAGGAUUAGGUAGUUGGUGGGGUAAAGGCCUACCAAGCCGACGAUCCUUAGCUGGUCUGAGAGGAUGAUCAGCCACACUGGGACUGAGACACGGCCCAGACUCCUACGGGAGGCAGCAGUGGGGAAUAUUGGACAAUGGGCGAAAGCCUGAUCCAGCAAUGCCGCGUGAGUGAUGAAGGCCUUAGGGUCGUAAAGCUCUUUUACCCGGGAUGAUAAUGACAGUACCGGGAGAAUAAGCCCCGGCUAACUCCGUGCCAGCAGCCGCGGUAAUACGGAGGGGGCUAGCGUUGUUCGGAAUUACUGGGCGUAAAGCGUACGUAGGCGGUUAUUCAAGUCAGAGGUGAAAGCCCGGGGCUCAACCCCGGAACGGNCUUUGAAACUAGGUAGCUAGAGUCUUGG